rnacentral:lncRNA from 10 species
AGGCUCUACAUUUCAGUCUCUAUGGUCUGAAUGUGUUCCCCCAAAUUCAUAUACUGAAACAUAGUCUGCAGUGUGGUAUUAAGAGAUGAGGCUUAGGGGAGGUGAUUAAGUCAUGAGGGCAGAGACUUCAUAAAUGAGAUUAGCACCCUUAUAAAAGAAGCCUGAGGGAGCUUGUUAGCUCCUUUGCCUGUCCUUUGUGUGAGGACACAUUGAAGGUGAAUCUAGGAGGAAUGAGGCCUCGCCAGACGCCAAAUCUGCUGAUGCUUUGAUCUUGAAAUCCCAGCCUCCAGAACUAAACUCAGAUCCUCCACCAAGUGGUUCUGCUGGCAUGCAGACCUCAGAUGUUGGGAAACUGAGAACUGAGCUCUGAUUGAAGUUCUUUGCUCUAAGUUUCUUCCGGAGGGGCCGGGAGGAAGUCACAACUACGGGCCAGAGCUAACAUUCCUUUCUGCUGACCCCAAGUCUUUAAACAAAGCUCCUCUUUCUAACCAAUUGCAAAUCAGAAAAUUUUUUAGUCUACCUGUGAUCUGUAAGCUGCUGCUUCAAGAUAUCCCGCCUUUUUAGGCCCAACCAGUGUGUAGCCUCCAUGUGUUGAUUUAUGCUUUUGCCUAUAACUUCUGCUUUCCUAUUUUUUUUUUUUUGAGAUGGAGUUUCACUUUGUCACCCAGGCUGGAGUGCAGUGUCAUGAUCUCGGCUCACUGCAACCUCCACCCGCCAAGUUCAAGUGAUUCUCCUGCCUCAGCCUCCAGAGUAGCUGGGAUUACAGGCAUGUGCCACCACACCCAGCUAAUUCAGUAGAGAUGGGGUUUCGCCAUUUUGGUCGGGUUGGUCUUGAAGUCCUGACCUCAGGUGAUCCCCCCUCCUCGGCUUCCCAAAGUGCUAGGGUUACAGUCGUGAGCCACCACACACAGCAUAAAAUUUAUGCUGUCUUUAAAAACCCCUACCUGUAAGGCACUGGGGAGGUCGAGUCUUAAGCAUGAGCUGCCCAAUUCUCCUUGAUUGGCGCUCUGCACAUUAAUGCCCUCCUUUCUCCUGCUGCAAGCCUCAGUGUGGAUGUUUGACUUUAUCACUCCAGGCCAGAGGACCCCAUUUGGGUUUUGUAACAUUGGGAGUGAAGGAGAAGUUAUAUUGGUUUUAUGCGAAAUCAGUGUUGCUUGUUCUUGUGGGGUUCAGUGAAUUGUUCCCAGGAGCAAAGGAGCUGAAUGCAGGCAUGGCCUGAAGCUACAAGCAUCACCCCCAUCCCUUCUCUUGGAAAAAUGCCUGUGAAAAUACACUGGUUUGGCUUGCUGAUGUCCUCAUGUCUCUGUGAUUUAAGACUUAGCAACCUAGGAUGGAAUCAAGGUAGAAUUCUAUGUUCUUGAGAAAUUGCCUUGUGAAGGCCUGAGAGAAGACAAUCCCACCAGCGGCCACCCCACGGAGCCACCAAUCCUGGCACAGGAAGUUGUGGUUUGGGAAGUGGGCUUUGAACAUUGUUCUUCUCCCUGGGUCUGGCUCCCAAGGGGCCGGUGGGCUGUCAGCCCCCUUCCCCACCCCCAAGUGACUCUGAAAUGAAGAUGUAUAGACUGGCGUUUUAUUGAGAUGGACUCUCAGAUCAACAGCCAUAAGUGUGUACAGGAAGCAGGACCCAGCAGAGGGAGAAGUAGACAAACUUGCAGUCAUCACAAGGUAGACUCCGCGGAUCUCAUGCCAUGCCCUGGAGCUGGAAUGCCCUUCAGUGUCACUCCCAAUUGUGGAGCAGGGACCAGGCCUUAUACCCCUGCCUGAAGCAGUCUUUGGAUGUGGGCUGCCCCAGGGAAGGGCAGAACCUUGGGAGAGUAGCUCUCUUGAGCUGAGGCCAGUCUGUGGUCACUGCACUGGUCUGAGUCUCUCAGGAACUUGUUAGAAAUGUGCAUUCUUGUGUGCCAUUCCAGACCUUCUGAAUCAGGAACUCUGAGGGUGGGUCAAAGAGUAACCUGUGAUUUAACAAAGCCUCCAGGAAAUGAUACAAAAUGAAGUUUGAGAGCCACUGCCCUAGGGCAAGGCCUACAGAACUUGCAGAGAGUUUUAAUAGCCACUCUCCCAGCAGGAAUGGAAAAGUCCUACGAAAAGGGUUCUAUAGGUCAGCGGUGGUGGCUCACACCUGUAAUCCUAGCACUUUGAGAGACCAAGGUGGGUAGAUCACCUGAGGUCAGCAGUUCAAGACCACCCUGGCCAACACGGUGGAAUCCUGUCUCUACUAAAAAUACAAAAAAUUAGCUCGGUGUGGUGUCAGGUGCCUGUAAUCCCAGCAACUUGGGAGGCUGAGGCAGGAGAAUCGCUUGAACCUGGGAGGCGGAGGUUGCAGUGAGCCGAGGUUGCACCAUUGCACUCCAGCCUGAGUGACAGAGCGAGAAUCCGUCAAAAGGAAAGAAAGAAAGGAGAGAAAGAGAGAAAGAAAGAGAGAGAGAGAGAGAAAGAGAGAGGGAAGGGAAGGGAAGAGAGGGAAGGGAAAGGAGAAAAAGGUUCCAUAAACUAAAAAUAAAAUCCAAAGCCCCCCAACCAAUUGAACGGACUCUCUCUUGGCCAAGGGAACCCCAGAGAAACCUUAAAAACUGAGUUCCUAGCCAGGAUGGGAAUCAAGUCAGACACACCUGGUUAUACUCCUCCCUUGCAGUUUAGACGCAACUGGCCAGCAUCCAUGUUAAAGCAGAGAUGAUAAAAGACUGACGGAAGGAGCUCUUUGUGGCAAUAAGAUACCAAAUUACAAUCAGGAGCUAAGGCCAGGGCAGGCAGGGGUUAAGCUACCCCCUACUCUUAAAGAAGAAGCUCUGUUCUAACUGCCACAAGAGUUUUCUUUUCCUCUAGCAGAUAAACAAGCACUGGCCUGGACAUAAGCAAUAUUGAAACGACUUGCAGCUCGUCCACAGCCAGCAGCUGACUAGCUGACCCCCUGUUCUACCAGCCGUUAUCGCAGCUUUGAUUGAACAAGAGACUGAUUUCAGUAACUUUCUCCUGAUAAGAGCCCACAGACCAUGCACUGGUUCUGGCCAGUUUACAAAGGCUGUGCACAGAAUGCCUUCACGUCCCUGCUUCCCGCUUUGACGUAUAGGGCCUAAUUCUAGCGCAUUUAAAUGUUAAGUGUCCACCCCAAAGUGAACAUGGGGCAUAUGUGACAUGCAUGUUCGGUACACGUGGGUCAAGACCACCUUCUUGAAUAUUCGUAGCUCCUGGUGUAACCUGUUAAAUAUGUAUACUUGUCCAACCUGUUCAGCUUAAAUUCCUGUCUUACCAGUUCCUCCCUCAAAGCUCUCGAUAACAGUCUCUGCCUCCAUUGGAGACCAGCUCCCCAACCUAUCUGGAAGACCCCCUUGCAGGCUGUAACCCUUUAUAAAAAAUAGAGUCUCCUUUUCAAAUUUAUAAAUGGUGUGAUUUUUAAGUUAACUGUCACGGCAUCAGUGACACAGGCUCAGAGAUCUCUGGGAGGUGGGCACAGGAUGGCCACUGCCUUACGGAAGAAGAUUGGGAGCCAGGAAGUUUGGGGGGCAGGGGGUGAAGAUGAAGACAGCCUAGAUCUUGAGAGCAGAGAAUGUAAAAGCAAUUCUAACUUUCACUCUCCAUUGUAUUUCUCUUAUGUCAUCACCAAAUUGUCAAUAAAAUGUCAAAAAAUG